ACGUGAAUACACAAACUCAUGUUUAAUUUAUUUAAUUACAUUACAAAAUUAGAGCUUUUCAGAAAAACAUCUGCCAUUACGCCGCCACACCACUAGAGGGUACAUUGGGUGCGCAUGAAACACGUGAGAGAGCUACUUCCCCCUGUUUAACGCGCUCAGUAAUAAACUGACUGCCGCUUGGAAAGGAUCUAACUUUUUUUCUCUCGUGUUUCUCUCAGGUAUGAACAUAAAUAACUAAAAUAUUCAUUUUAUUGUACUUGGGUGAAUCGGCAGGUGUUAUACAGAGAGUUUGAGUGUUAAGCGUUGUAUUUUAACCCAUAAAGGAUUAUAUAAAAAAAAACAAAUAAUAAGUUUAAUCGUGUGUCGUGUCUGGUUUGUGUUGUAUUAAUAUUAAUUUAUAUAUAAAUUAAUGUAUAGAUUAAUGUUUAUCAUGCUCAAAUACUGAGUUCAUGUCAUAUAUAAAAGUAUUUAGGAAGUGUUCUAGAAUUACAUUGCGGAGUGUAUGUUGCAUUCUAAUUUCAAUCGCCAUUUUGGGGUUCAGCACGUGUAUUUUUUCAGUGUGUGCACAUGCAUGAGUGAAAUACAGUGACAGACAAAUUUUAUCCAGUUAAUGUAUCAAGUGUAAGGAAAUCCAAAGUCUUGAAGGUUUUCUGGUGUCUUUUAUAAAUGUUUUUGUGCAGUUUUGACACACUUAUUUUUUUGUACUGUCAUUGUAAGUUAUAAUUAUUGUAAAUUGAUGAAACCUCCAAAUGCAUAUAAGGUGUACCUGCAUAUAACUGUAUUUGUAUGUUUACACCUACAAGUAUACAUAAUGUAUACAAUAUUAGAUACCAUGGAAUGUUUUGCAUAUAUUUAGCCAGUGUCUUGGUGAAUUUGUUUUUCUGUUGAAUUGUGUUUUACCAAAUUCACUUGAAGUUUAGAAAGUGUAAUCUUUCUUAGAAGUUAAAGCAUUUAAAGAAAAAGUAUUGCAGUAAUAAACUGACUGCCACUUGGAACGCAUCUAACUUUUGUUCUCUCGUGUUUCUCUCAGUUUAUUCUCUGAUCCGCAGUGGUCCACCUGUGUAUCAUUUGCUGCCGGCACAGAUGUCCCCUAGGUCUGGGGCCGGUAACAAUUGGGGGCUCUCUCCGGGAUACAGCACAUCUCGUUUUGGGAAGGUUGUCAUAGUAACCGUGAAAUCUUGUGACCAGUGUUUCAGGGAAGACUGCAGUGUCAAGUGUCAUCCAAAGAACAGCUGACACAGGUGAUGCAUCAACAUGACUACCUUAAGCCAACGCCGAGUGCUGGUCUUCAAGAUCCAAAAGAAACUUUCAGAUCUGAAUCCUAGUAAGCUGCAGACUGUUGCCAGUUGCUGAUCUCAGUGAACCCGAGCUGUACGACCUAAUCAUCGACUACAUCAGAAUUGAGAAGCUAAAAGCAACUUCUCCUCCUUUUCGACUUGCUCAAUGAUGUACCAUCAGCUUCAGACACCCAAGCCACUGAACCUGGUACUGUUGUACCUGACCUGGCUGUGGAUUCACCAACACACCACUGUCAUCAUACUCCAACCAGUGAUGAUGGAGAAGAUGAUCUACCACCAUCCUCUAUGGACAGAGUUACUCUUUGCACACAACCACUACAAAUGGACAAAGACACUCACUUGCACUCCUCAUUUCAGGGCGGAGACAGCUAUGUACUUACCAGGGAAGUCACUUCAUCAGCGCCAGGUAUGCCCUCCCACGUCGGCGCUGUUCCUUUGGAGUUUACGAUCAGCAAGGGGGUGCUGAGGGUAAGAGGCGACAAAUGGGGUGACUCGUUGGCCGUGAGUUGCGACUCGUGUCGUUGGAGGAAGAGGUCCUGGUGCUUGAGGAUUGUGGUUAUUGCAACUUCCACUUAACCAACACAUCACUUUGGCUCCUACUUCAACCAGACGGGAGGUUGGGAAGGCCCGUCCCAAUCAAUCGGCUUGUCAGGACUCGCCCUGGAAAUAGGUUGGGUUGAAACUCGCUUCUUCCAGAAGACACUGGCGAAGGGUCAAUUGAGUAUUGUGGACCUCGUGUUUAUAUGCUCAAAUAUACCAUUUCUGUAUCCUUGAUGUACAUCCGGUGGAUGUCCACGGCUCUGUACAUCCCCUUGUAGGGAUCCAAGGUGGGUGAGGAGCAGGGAUGAUGAACAAAUAUUCUUCUAACAUGGCGAACAAACAAAACACCAAAAAACGAUUACUGGACCAUGAUUUGGAGGUUGAACUAAAGGCUGAUCUUAUUUUCUCCUUUGAUAAUGAAAACUGGCAAAGAUUUAUUUUACUGGAGUCACUGACUUAAAGACAUGCCCCAUACCAAACUGUCUCCUUUUGCAAUCCUAAAAGGAAUAACUGGAAUUGCGGGAACAGUCAGAGAUAUCAAGAAGCUGCGGUCUGGACAGAUCUUGGUGGAUUGUGCUAGGAAAGCAAACUACGACCUUGGCUGGUAUAGAUAUGAAAGCCUACUGUCAUCCUUCUUUGAACAAUAGCAAAGGCGUGCUCCGCACCAGAGAGCUGCAGGAUGUUAAAGCAUUUAAAGAAAAAGUAUUGUAGUAAUAAACUGACUGCCGCUUGGAACGCAUCUAACUUUUGUUCUCUCGUGUUUCUCUCGGUUUAUUCUCUGAUCCACAGUGGUCCACCUGUGUAUCAUUUGCUGUCGGCACAGAUAUCCCCUAGGUCUGGGGCCGGUAACACUCACUCAGAACUCUCUGAUGGUGCGAAGUAUUGUUAGCACUGUCUGCAUUCGGAGUGUAAUAUUCUGUUCCGUCUAUUGCCUUGUUUUGAUCUUGCUGGUUUAUCGUGUUUAUGUAUGUUUGCUACCUGCCCUGACCCACGCCCGGAUUAUUGACUACAGUUUUUGGAUUUCCUUUGAUGUUGUUUGCCUGAUGUGUGACCCUUGCCUGUUUUGGAUAUUGCCUAAUAAACCAGCAUUUGGAUCUAACCUGUUUCAGGUGCAUGACAUAUACACAAUAAGCUUAAACAUUACACUACAUCGUGUUUUGUAGCUGAAAACCUUUAACAAUGUGUGCAAACAAAAAAGUACAGAGCAAAAGCAAAAAAAAGUGG